AGCAUGAGAUUAUGAACCAUUAAAUUUUGAAGAAGCUGUGUAAGAUUAAAAAUGAAAGAUGCUAUGAAUGAGGAAAUAAAAAAAUAAUAAUAUUGAAGUAAAAUCUUUUUCAAAAGGGAAAGACAUUUGAAGUAAAACAAAUAUACAAAACAAAGAAGAAAACAAAAAGAAAAGUAGAUAGAUACAAAACCUCCCAAUUUUGAAAAUUUUAGAAGAUUAAGAACACUACUUGAAAUUACAAAUUAAGUUUAAGAGAGUAUGUUAGAAAAUAAAUUUGAGUAGAUAAAAAAGUUUCCAAUAAAAAAAAUAAUUUGAUUUAAUUAGUUUCUAAAAGUCAAUUGAAAUAUUUUAGUUUGAGUAAUUCAGUCAUAUUUUAUUACUAGGAGUUUUUAUUUUGUUAAAUACGAGUAUGUAUAGAAAGAUGAUGGAAGAUGAUAAUUUGUUCUUAAUCUUUCUCAAUUAUUCAUCUUUUUUUGUAAAUGUUUGUGUAUUUUUUUCAACCCUACUACUUCAACAAUAAUGUGCUACUUAAUCCUGGAAGCAAAUAUAAAAAAGAUGGUUAGUUAUGGUUAUGAUGGUUUUUGCCCUUCUCAUUAAAUUUGAUAGAUGAUAAAAAAAAAUAAAAAAGAACUCUUCAUGAGUUAAUCCUAUUUACCAGCAGGAAUUAUAUGGAAUUUGAAAGUCAAAAAAUAUAUAGUUAAGCUUCCAUUGUUGAUAAUCUUGUCGUAUGAAAUUUAAUUACAAAGUCCCAUUGGAGGAUAUAUUAAACUUGUUCAACAUCAGUGUCUGAUUUUUGGUUUGAAAUAGACUUUCUGUUAAGGGUCAUCGUUGAAUGGUGGCUGUAGAGUUGAUCCAUUAUUGACUUGGUAUGUUGAGUGCUCCACUUGUGAUGUGGAGUCACCAUAUCACAAACACUACAACCCCACCAUGAUCUUUUCCUUCAAGAAAAACUUUCCCUGCUUUAAGUUCAACCAGCUUGAUCAUCAUAGAGAUGCCUUGUCUUUUACUUUGUCCAGAAUAUUCCACUUUUCUCUUAAAUUUUAUGGUCAAAAAUCGCACUAGCAUCACAUCACAGCAGUCAUGUUGCUGUGUUGCACAUUACUUGGAAAGUGGGAUUUUUUAUAAUUAUACGGUGAAUUUAAAAUUAAUUUUUAAAAAUAUAGUCUAAUAAAAAAUAUUUAUAAAUCUACGUACUUUUUGCUACUUUAAAAAACUUUCUUGUAAACAUAUAUUUCAUAAUUUUUAUAUUAAUGAUACACGUUUUAAAAAAAUUGAAUUUUCUUUUGAAAAGACCUUCCAUAAUUUUUAUAUCAACAACACACCUUAAAAAAAUUUGAAUUUACAUUAAAAGUAUUUCUUCAAAAGACAUCUUUUAUUAUUUUAUAAAAUCAAAUUUAUAUUAAAAACGUCUUUUAAAGAGAUUUUUUACAAUUUCCAUAUCAAUUGCAUGAUAAAAAAAAUUGAAUUUAUACUAGAAGUAUUUUCUUAAAACACUUUCUUCAAUUUCACAAAAUGCUCCAUCCACUUUUAAUAUAUAUAUAUAUAUAAAAGUCAAUGUAUGAUUAUGCAUUAGUAUCAGUCUAUAUAGCAUGUGCGAUUGAGCCUGUUAGAGAAUUAAAUUCAAGACAUUUAGAACCGAAAGCAUUGUUUGUCAAAGAUAGAUGGUGGAUGAUGACCCAGAAUAUUUUCCUUCUGAUCUAUGAAUGGAUGGAUGAGAAACUCUUCAUGAAUGAAUCCACCUUUGAGAAGAAACGAUGUGGGCAUAUCAGAACAUUAAAGACGGUGUGGCUUUUAGUGAAACUUGGAGUGUUGAUCAUCUUAGAAAAUUGAUUGGAUGAAAUUUCACUGAAACUCCUUUGGAAUCGACUGUGGUCCAGAAUAAAUUAUUUCCUUUGCUUUUGCUUCAAAAUGGACUCCCUUCUCUGCUAAGAGGUUCUUGUUGAAUACAAGUUGACCCAAUUUGUGACAUAUGAAGGAAAGAGUUGAGAAACUGGAAUCAUACCUUGUGAUUGAACUAAAGAUUGUUGCCCAACUCCUAUUGAUCAAAAUGACAGCGUUGGCCCAUUUUGAUAAAUAAAAAAAAACAAUAACCAUCAAGUCAUUGAAAAAGCAAUAUUUCACAUCUAUCCUCGAAGUUCACACUCUACAAAGAGACAAAGGCCCAACCAAGCUAUAGAGAUUUCCAAAAGAUACGGGUGAAAUUAAAUUUUGAUGGAUCCCACAAAGAUGUGGAGAGGACAGUUCCAUCAAGAUGAUUAUCAGAGAUGGGAACUUUUAAACGCAACUCCACCAUGAAUUGUCCUGUCCAAGGGUCACCAUCUUUGUGGUCUCACAAUGGUAUGUAUAUAUAUAUAUAUAUCAAGGCUAUAAAGAAAAGGACAACCCUAUGCUUGCUUAAUGCCAGAUAGAUUUGUCCCUCCCUGUAUAAGGCUAUUCUUGCUUAAUGCCAGAUAUAUAUAUAUAUAUUAUUAUUCGUUGUUUUGUAAACAUAGUCCUAUUAGAUAAGAUUUUAAUUGUAGAGAUAGUAUGGAACUAAUUGCUCAUUACAAAUUAAUUUGUAGUUCAUUCUCACUACAAGUUAAUUGAAAAACACACGGCUUAAUGAGGCUUUGCAAAGGAAAAAGAAAAAAGAAAAUUUUUGUAAUUGAUAACACACAGGCUUUAUAAGGCUUUGCAAAGGAAAAAAGAAAAAAAAUUAAUGAGGCUUUGAAAAGAAAAAAAAAAAAAAAAACUUGAUCGUAAGUUAGAAGGGAGUAUUACAAAGAUAAAUUCCAGCUCAAAAUUGGCUUAGAAAAUUGUAUCUUACAUUUUUGGUAAAUUAAUGAACAAAUUAAAAUUGAGUUGAAAAGGAAUAACAUAGCAAAUUAAAAUGAAAGCCAGCAAUACCAAUUAAAAAUAAUGCAGGAGUGCACACAAACAACUAAUUGGAGAGGAAUACGAAAGACAAGACCACUUGAUAGACAAUAAAGGCGACAAAAAAAUCCCAAUCAACACCACCACUUUCAACUAACAUUUCAAACGAAAGGAGCCAACAAAGACUGAUAGCUGAAAAUAAAAGUCCUGCACAUCAUAUCGAACACAAAAACUUGGUAGUCUGGAGUCUUUCUUAAUAGUUAUUGUGAAAGACCCUAUUGAAAUAUUAUACUAACAGGAAUAAAUAGAAAAUAGGGUAUAUGUAUUUUAUGAGACACCCAUAACAGCAUAGGCUGAUAAUAAUUGUAAUCGAUUUUCUUAGCCUGUUAACAAGCUAUUAUAAGUCUAACCUACAAGGAAGGACUAGUACUGAUGCCGGAAUAAAUAACCCCAAGCACAACUAUGGAGCCUUGACAAUCCAAAUACGCAUAAACCACACUUCUAGCAGGGCCUUAAGCUAUUGUUCUCCAUUUUCUAAUGGCCGGCCCAAUCUCUCUCCCUCUCUACGAAAAGUUGCCCCAGAAGAAUAUAGUCCAGAGAGUGUUGGACGUCACCAUUUUCUUCCUUCUCCUCACUCUCCUUGCUUAUCGUAUCCUCUCCCUCAAAAGCAAUGGCUUCAGUUGGCUUGUGGGUUUUGAUAGAAACAAAGUGUAGAAACUCUCAGGAAGCAACAGAACGUUGAGGAAUCUGAAGUGAUAUAUUUUAUUAAGCUUCAAAGUACUUAUUUAUACAGCUAGCUUAAAACAAAAAAACAUAAAAAAAUAGCAACAAACCUACUACCUAAGAUACUUUCUAAAGAAUAGAAACAAACCAACAAAUACUUACUAAGGAAUAGGUAUAUCUUCCACAUGACUAACUUAUUUGACUACUUUCACUUCAAUCUACUCAGCUCCAUGUCAGCAGCUCCUAGGACAUGUCAUUCAACACUCCUCCUUGUCUCUGGAGCUGCAGACUCCAAGCCUUUGCCUCAAGAACUCAUAUCUAGCUUUGGGAAAUGGCUUGGUUAAGAUAUCAGCAUUCUGACUUUCUGUUUUGCAAUAGACCAAUUGUAUUUCUCCCUCCUUCUGUACCUUUCUUAGGAAAUAGAGUUUCAACUUGAAAUGUUUUGUUUUGCCAUGGAACACCAGAUUAUUUGCAAUUGAAAUUGUAGCUUGGUUGUCUACGAGUAUUUGUGUGCUUUCCUUUUGCUCCAUAAACAAGUCAACCAUCAAUUUUCUGAUCCAGAGAGCUUGAUUCACAGCAACAGUUACAUAUUCUGCUUCUGCUGUGGAUUGAGCUAUGACUUCUUGCUUUUUGGAACACCAUGAAAAAAUAGCAGAACCGAUACCCUAAAGUACUUCUCAUGUCGUCAAUUCAACCUGCCUAAUCACUAUUUGAAUAACCAUGGAGAGUAAAGUUUUUAACUUGACAAAACCUCAUACCAUAGUCAAUUGUACCCUUGACAUAUCUGACAAUUCUUUUUGCUGCUUGAAAGUGAAUUUCACUAGCACGAUGCAUGUACCUUGAGAGUAAACUUACAACAUUCAUAAUAUCUGGUCUAGUUGUCGUUAGGUACAUCAAGCACCCGAUAAUGGUCCUGUAAAGCCUUUCAUCAGCUUUUGUAGCUCCAUCUUCUUUGCAAAACCUCUCAUUUUGAUUCAUUGGAGUUGCACUUGGAUUGCACUCUUCCAUCUUGAACUUUUUCAAGAUUUCCUUGGCAUAUUUCUAUUGACAUAUGAAGAUCUCAUUCUACUUUUGUUGUACCUCCAUGCCAAGAAAGAAUGUCAUCCUCCUAAGAUCAGUCAUCUCAAAAACAUUCUUCAUUUCCUUUAUGAAAUUGUCAAUUUGCUCCAUAUUGCUUCCUGUCACAAGUAGAUCAUCAACGUACAAAGAUACUACAAGUGUUUCAUCACCUUCUUGAAGUAUAGAGUAAAUUCGCUUAGGCUUUUUCUAUGUUGAAUGACAUGCCCUAGGAGCUGUUGACAUGGAGCUGAGUGGAUUGAAGUGGAAGUAGUCAAAUAAGUUAGUCCUGUGGAAGAUUUACCUAUUCCAUAGGAAGUAUUUGUUAGUUUGUUUCUAUUCUUUAGGAAGUAUCUAUAGGUAGCAGGUUUGUUGCUAUUUUUUAUGUUUUUCUGUUUUAAGCUAGCUAUAUAAAUAAGUACUUUGAAGCUUAAUAAAAUAUAUAGUCUAGAGAGUGUUGGACGUCACCAUUUUCUUCUUUCUCCUCACUCUCCUUGCUUAUCGUAUCCUCUCCCUCAAAAGCAAUGGCUUCAGUUGGCUCCUCGCAUUACUCUGAGUCAUGGUUCACCUUUGUUUGGGUUGUUAUACUCAGCUCCAAAUGGAAUCCAGUGGUGUACCGCACAUAUCCAGAACACCUUUUAUUUUGAUAUCUGAAUAAUUGUCUGAGUUCAACUCUUAUCAUUCAUUAAUUUAAUGUGUUACCUCAUAUAUUACCUUUUCUGCUUUGAUAUUUUGCCUUCACUUCUCCAUGUGUAUACAUAUUUCAUAUUGUUUGUCCAAAACUUUAUACUAUGAUUUUCUCAAUAGGCUUGAUGAGCUUCCUCCAGUCGACAUGUUUGUGACAACUGCAGAUCCCACUCUAGAACCGCCUAUCAUCACUGUUUACACAGUCCUCUCCUUGCUAGCAGUUGACUAUCCAGCUAACAAGCUUGCUUGAUAUGUAUCUGAUGAUGGCUGUUCACCUCUCACCUUUUAUGCUCUCCUCGAAGCAUCCAAGUUUGCUAAGCUUUGGGUUCCCCUUUUUAAGAAGUAUGGUAUUCACACAAGAGCUCCCUUUAGAUACUUUUACGAUGAGGAGGAAUCACCCCAUGAUAAUUCAACAGAGUUCAUCCGAGAAUACACAAAGAUGAAGGCGAUUCAAGCAAUUACAUUAAGUAAGACAAAUAAUUUGAGAAAAAAAUAAAAAUUGUCUUUUUAAUUGUAAUUUUUAAAAACCUAGAAAAUCUAAGUUAAACUUUUCAACAAGAGAAAUUUCAAAAAGUGUUUCUAAAGUAAGCAUAUAGGAUUCCUAAAAGAGUUAGGUGGUGUUUGUUUUUUACUUAUUUCUAAAUAGAACCUUAAUGCUUAAUAAUGUUAAAUAUUAUAUUAUUUAUUUUUGUAGUAUUUUAUUUCUAUUAAGUAUUAAAAAGUAAAGAAAAACAAAUAUGUUAUUUUUUCUGUUUAGAAAAAAUUAAGUAUUUUGGUUUUUUUAUUAAAUAAAAAGUUUAUAUUAAGUUAUGAAAAAGUAGAAAAAUAAAUAAUCUAAAUUCUAAAAAUAAAUUAUUUUAAGCAAAAAACCGAAAAAACAAACAUCCUCUUAAAUUUUUAUAUUAAGAAUAGCAAUACUUCUGCAAAACUUUUCAAGAAGUUUUUAAAAAUCCUUUUCAGGUUAGAUAUUGAAUAAUAAAUAAAAAAUUCUUUUCUUUCUCUUUUCAAAUUAUGCCUUUUUUCCUGUCAUGGUAUAUAGCAACAGUUAAAUAAAAACUCCGCAAAUAUUUGCCAUAAGUAUUGUGCAUCCUUUGUUAAACUGUCUUCAUCUCUUUGUAGGAUGAAUAUGAAGUGCUCAGAAGGAAAAUUGAAGAUGCAACCGAAAAGUCCAUACCAUUGUGAUCUUAGUUCUGAAGAGUUUGUUGCUUUCUCAGAUAUAGAAAGGAGAAAUCAUCCCAGUAUCAUCAAGGUAUAUAAAUAUCUCACUUAUUGAUCAUUACUUAAUUUCAAAAUAGACGAUGAAUCUUAAUCUAAUUUCGAGAUUAGAAAGACAGUACAACUAAUUUGUUUUUUGCAUAGAAAUCAAAUGAGUUUUCCAUCAGCCCCAACACACACACUGACAUGUUCAGUGAGUGUGUUAAUUUCUUUUUUCUUUCCUUUUUUUUUUCCUUUAAUUAGAAGAUAUUAUUUAUCAGUGUUUGGAUUAUUUUUAAAAAGACACAACAAAUUUAAAGCCGUAACCUUUUUGUUGACAUGAGAAACCGAAACAGUACUAAACGAAAUAUCACUGGGCAAAUUAAUAGUAUUCCAUAGACGUUCGAUUAGUAAUUAAUGCUGGUGCACUUGCAGCCUAAAAUAGGCUAUUGAUAUCAGAGUACUGUGCUGAAGCUUAUUCAAAUGACCGCCUGAGUAUAUCCCGUUGGACCUUCAUUUCCUCAAUACAUGGCCAAAGAUAAAUUCAAGAAUUAGAUUAGCUAUUGUUUAUGCAAGCAUGAGAUCUUACAUCAUUCUAAAAUCUUAAAGUGAAAGCGAUAUUAUUCUUCCCUACUGAGUAAUAUUACAAUGUGAUGUUCCAUAUCGAAUAAGAGAGAAAGUUUCUAGUACUAUAUAUGUAGAGACUCCUCUUAACCAAAUAGACGCGUUUUAAAGCAAUGAGGGUCUCUUUGGGUCCAAAAUGGACAAUAUCUACAUGGUUGGAUACAGGUUGUUACAAAUGGUAUUAGAACCGAUCCUCGACCUCGGUGUGGGGUUUGUUUGGGUGUUCGUUUGUUUGGCCCCACAAUCCCAUGGGACACAACGAGAACAUUGUGUCUGCAUGGGGGGGGGGGGGGGGGGGGGGGGGUUUUUUAAUUUUUCCCCCGAAAAGGGGAAAAAAUUCCCAACCCCAAAUUUUUAAGGGCCCCCUUUAACCAAAGGACCGUUUUUUAAACCCAAAGAACCCCUUUUGAUUAAAAAAAAAAAAAAUUAACAUGGGGGGGACAGGGGCUUUAAAAAAGGGUUUAAAACCCAUCUUCCCCCCCCGAAUGAAAUUUUUUUGGGCCCCCAACCCCAAAAAAAAAAAAANNNNNNNNNNNNNNNNNNNNNNNNNNNNNNNNNNNNNNNNNNNNNNNNNNNNNNNNNNNNNNNNNNNNNNNNNNNNNNNNNNNNNNNNNNNNNNNNNNNNGGGGGGUGUUUGUGAUGUUCUACAUCGGAUAUGGGAGAAAGUUCCUGACGCUAUAUAUGUAGAGGCUCCUCUUAACCAAGUGACGCGUUUUAAAGCCAUAAGGACUCCUUUGGAUUCAAAGUAGACAAUAUCUACAUGGUUGGAUACAGGUCAUUACAAAUGGUAUUAGAGUCGAUCUUCGACCUCGGUAUGAGAUUUGUUUGGUCCCGCAAUCCCAUAGGACAAAACGAGGACAUUGUGUCUUCAUGGGGGAGUGUUUGUGAUGUCCCACAUCAGAUAGGGGAGAAAGUUCCUAGUACUAUAUAUAUAGAGGUUCCUCUUAAUCAAGUAGACGCGUUUUAAAGCCGUGAAGACCUCUUUGAGUCCAAAGCGGACAAUAUCUACAUGGUUGAGUGUGGGUUGUUACACACAAUCUUUUAUAUCUUUUUCCAUAUAAACAAACAUAUAAGCUUUGCUUCCAGAACCAAUAAUACUACGACCAAAAUGGAGCAUUUAUUGAACAAUUCACACUGAUUUAGAUUGCUUCUUUGUAGGUUAUAUUGGAGAACAAGGAGGGCCUCGUGGAUGGAUUGCCACAUCUAAUCUAUGUAUCCAGAGAGAUGUGCCCAAAGCAUCCGCACCAUUACAAAGCUGGUGCACUGAAUGUUCUGGUAAACAAUUUCCUUGAACUAGUACUAUUCAUACCAUGUCUAGUAUCUAAUUAGUUUUCCCUGGUUGUUUUAUAAACAGACUAGAGUUUCAGGAGCAAUGACAAAUGCUCCUUUCAUCUUGAAUGUAGACUGUGAUAUGUACGCCAACAAUUCACAGAUUGUUUUUCAUGCAAUGUGUUUGCUCCUUGGUUGUAAGAAUGGACAAGACUUUGCAUUUGCUCAAUCUCCACAAAUCUUCCAUGAUGGUUUAAAGGAUGACCCACUCGGAAAUCAACUAGUAGCUACGCAGAAAGUACGUUAAAUAUUCAAAAUCUAAAAAUUGAUCUCUUCCAUACUAUAAAGCACAUGAGCUAUUUUUGGAUGGGAACUGUGAAGAUUUUUUGCUGAUAGAGAAACUUCUUUUGUUUUUCUUAUUAAUAUGUUUCAAUCAGUAUUUGGGUGAAGGAAUAUCAGGGCUUCAAGGACCUUACUAUUCUGGUACUGGAUGUUUUCAUCGGAGAAAAUUUCUCUAUGGGUUAUGGCCAGAUGGCUGCAUGGAAACCGGAGGAAGAAGUCCUAAUUGUGUGGCUGGUAAGAAAAUUAAUCUACUUUUGACAAUCAUCUUUUAUUACAUUUUUCUUCUUGUUUUGUUGGGAUUACAAAUAUUGUAGAAACCUCUGCAUGAUAAUUUUUCUAUACUUUUUGGUAGGCAAAUUAACUGAUGAGGGAUUACGACAAUCUUUUGGACAUUCAAAGGAAUUCUCUAAAACGGUUGAAAGGAUUUUAUCAGGGUUGAGUGGGAAGGCCGAUUGUCCAUAUGAUCUUUCAAGUUCUGCAGAGGCAGCAAACCAAGUUGCAGAUUGUGGCUAUGAGUGUGGCACUAGUUGGGGUACAAAGGUGAGUUGUAAAAUAAUUUGAACAACCAAAAAUGCUUGAAAGCAGAAUGGUUUGGGACUUAAAAGAUUAGGGUUAAAAGGCUUUUACCUAAGAGACUGAACAAAAGACUUCAUAGCAUAUUUUUUCUCUAGAACAAAAUACACCAUUGAUGAAAGUUUAAUGGUAACCUCUAUCACAACAUAGCCAGUAUACAGUAUUUUCGCAAAUUGACGUAUUGGCCAUGCGGGCCGUGAUCUCAGAAUGGUUGGAUAUAUGGAUACACUAGCGAAGACGUUCUUACAGGACUGAAGAUUCAUGCAAGAGGUUGGAGAUCUGCCGAGUGCAAGCCUGAUCCACCUGCAUUUCUCGGCUGUUCUCCCUCAGGAGGACCUGCUUCAUUGACCCAGCAAAAGAGAUGGGUCACAGGCCUCCUCGAGAUCCUGUUCAGCAAGAAUAACCCAUUCAUUGCUACCCUCACUGCCAAGCUCCAAUUCCGCCAAUGCCUCGCAUACAUGUACAUUCUUUCAUGGGGUCUACGGUUGAUUCCUGAGCUUUGCUAUACUGCUUUGCCAGCAUAUUGCAUCAUCGCCAAUUCACAUUUCUUGCCCAAGGUGAGGAGAACCUACAACCUUCCAAUUUCUUCACAUAUCAUAAUUACUUCACUUAGUUUUCUGUGGUCUAUAUAUGCUGGAUUUUCAUUUGACGGUUCUUAUAUAUGAUGGUUAUUUCUCAUAUUUGUCUCAUUCUUGAUCUGAUAAGUCCAUUAUUCUAUGUUGGCAUAUACUUUGGCCUAUUUAUGGAUCAAAAUUGACCUAACAAUGAAAUGUCCAACUCAGAUAUAGUUUUGUGACCCUGGUUUGAUAAAGGUUAAUCUAUGAAAUAAUGUCAAGAUAUCCUAUGGCGACUCGUCAUUUGAAUGGCCAGCUUGACGCCAAGGUAUAGAAGUUAAUAUCAUAAAAAACCGUCUUGAAUGGCUAGCAUUUUGCGCAGGUAUAGAUGUUAACAUAUAUAAUUUGAAUCUAGUUAGUCCAACAUUUGUCAAGACAUAUAUUGGUGGCAAUGAGUCUACAUAUCUUUUGCUUAGACUUAGGCCUUGUUUCUGAUAACUUCUUUCUUCUUUAAGUAGAAGUUGAAUCGAAAUUGAAGUCGAUCGUAAUUCUCCAAGGAUAAUAUUAAUAUAAUAAAAGUUCCAUUAAACAUCAAAUAACUUCUUAUAUAAACUAAAAUAGUACUUCUAUGAGAAAUAAUAUUUUCCUUACUUUCAUUUAAGCUAUCUUAAGUCAUAUAUUCUUUUAACAAAUUCAUAUAAAUGUGUACAAAAGUUUUUAUACAUUGAAAUUUACAAAGAACUUUGGCUUCUCACAAGCCAUUCCAGAUAAAGCCUUAAUAUAUAUGGAAUCCACUUAGAUAAAAGUUACUUAUAGAAUCACCAUCAUCAGCCCAUAUAACGUAUUGAAGUAUUAAUGUUGCCUCUUAGAACAAUCUUGAGUGAACUUGCUUAAAAUAGUUAAUAAAAUUUUAAGUUCAGAAACCUUUUCAUGUAAUAUGUUAACCAAAAGCAUCUCUGGCUCCAAAUCUGUGGAAAAUAGUUUUUGAACUAUAAAUCUUAUUUCUAGUUUAAAGUGUAUAAUUAAUAUAAUUAUAUAAUCUGCAAGGUACUUUUAAAUUAAAUUCUAUCAAGAUCUUAAAAUGUGCAAAUUCAUGCAUGCAUGCAGGUUGAGGGAACCAGCCUUCUUGAUACUAGCAGCUCUCUUUGCCAUUUACAACCUUCACUCUCUACUUGAAUACUGUAGAAUUGGGCUCUCAAUCCGAACAUGGUGGAACAACCAAAGGAUGGGAAGAAUAAUCACCAUGACUGCAUGGUUUUUUGGAUUUUUAAAUGUCAUACUGAAGCUCUUGGGCUUGUUCGAGGCUGUCUUUGAGGUUACACAAAAGAACCAAUCUAGUGCCCCUGGCGAUGACAACCACAAGGAUCUGGUCGAUUCACAUUCAAUGAGUCCCCAAUUUUUGUUCCAGCCACUACUCUUGUGUUGGUGCACCUGGUGGCAAUGGUUAAAGCCCUGUUAAACCUAACUCAUGGAAGGCAUGAAUCAAGGAUAGGAGAGGUGAUAUGUAAUGUGUGGGUGUUGUUAUGCUUCUUACCUUUUCUGAAAGGGCUGUUCAAGAAAGGAAAAUAUGGCAUACCCUCAUCCACCAUAUGCAAAUCAGCAGCAGUUUUUGUGCACUUGUGCAAAAGGGUCUCAAUAGCUUGAGAUAAUGGAUAGAAUACCUUGAGAUAUCUUUGCUAUUUUCAUGUUUUGCAGUACUUCAUAUGAAUAAAAUGGAUUUAAUUUUACAUCAUAGAAUUUAUGUUUCAUGCUCGAUAAUUCUUUGAGUCCCCUAGCGGAAGGACAUUAAAUUUGUAAUAAUCCAUGAGUAUCAGGAAUCAAACACAAGAAAGAUGCGUAAGGCUAGUUGAGAGGGGUGUAGAAGUCGAAGCUUAUGUGUGGUCUGAUAGUGGAGAUUUUCUAAAAGCAAGAUAAAACAAAACAAGAGUUGGUGAUGUAAACAUUGAUACCAUCAACAUUGAUAUCCAUUUUUAGGGAUAUGAUUGUACAAGGUGCUAUUGCAGUGAAAAAAAUCCCUAUAAUGGACAAUCUUGGAUAAAUGAUGACUAAGUUUGUUAUUACAAUUAAGUUUAUAUAUUGCUUAAACUUAAUUGGUAUUAGUAGCAUCUAUAGACCAUUUGAGGGUGUGGAAGUGAAGUAACUUGGAAGACUUUUCAGUUUGUUUGAACCUUGGGAAUUUGAGCCAAGGUAGAAAUUGUUGAAAAGUGUCUCAAAUUUUAUUUUUGAGUUAAUUGGAAAGUUAUAAAUAGUUUCCUGAUAAAAAAAUAUUCUUGUAAGUGGGUUUCCUAUUAUUAUAAAGGAAAUAUCCUAUUGCGAGAUCUUCUUUUAGGAAAAAACAUCUUUGAAAAUUAUUCAUUUAGUUUCUUAUAUGGAAUCUUUCUAUAUAACUAGGAAAAUAUAUAUAGGAAGAGAUUUUGACCAAAAUAAAGAGUCUCUUUUUGGGUGUAAUUGGGACUUUAAGAUUUGAGAGCUCUAAAUUGAAGAUUUCUAAAACAUCAGAAGAUUCCAAGCAUAACAAACUAGUACUAAAGCUUUUGCUGACACAACAAUUAAAAGGAGAGCAAACAAGCAAAUGGGUUUUGGUGGAAAAUAUAUAUGUGCUUAGUAUUUUGAUGAGAACUUGUGAUAAGGUGUAAGUCACUAUAUUCAAAAUCAAAAUACCAACUUUAAUCUUUAAUUAUUGCUUUCAUUAACUUCUUAAUUUUUAAUUACAUAAAUUUCAAUAACAUGAGGAGAUGAUGAACAUACAUAUAGAUUUUUUGCAAUGUUAUUUCUUUGGUUAACUUCUUAAUUUUUAAUUACAUAAAUUUCAAUGACGCCAUGGUGAAAGUGUAUAUAGAUUUGUAUGAAACAUUGCAAAAUUCUUUGCUAUUUAUUUUGUGCUAACUUAGAAAGAUCAAUUACAAUUCAAUUACUAUAGUUCUCAUAGAAAGCUAUUUCUUUGAAAUUAAUCUUCAAGUAAUUAUGACAGAAUAAAUUUCUCUAAAAUUAACUCUUGACCAAAGUAUAUAAUCUUACUAUUAAUACGUAGAUAGAUAUGAAGAAAGUCUUAAGAUGAUAUUAUUAAAUGACAUUUUUACCUAUGAUUCUCAAUAAAAAUAAAAAUAAAAAUGAUUUUUAAGAUAAAGGAAAAUAUUACUAAUAGUUGAAAUAUUAGAUAAAAGUAUAUCAUUAAAAUUCAAAAUUAUUUGACAUUUUUACCUAUGAUAACAAAAAAUAAUUUCCAUAGUAAGUGGAAUAUUAUUUACAAUUAAUCUAGCAAAAUAGAAGUAUAUAACAACUACAAUAGAAUGAUUACUAUUACCAUUCAUUGUAAAAAUGGGUUUAAAUUGAGAAUACAUGAACAUGGAACCACACACAGAUAAAUGUGAUUCAAUAAUUAGUUUUGAUAUCAUUUCCACAACAAUAAAAUAAAGUGAUAUUACUGGACAUUUACUUAAAUAAAACUAUAUUUUUUAAUAUUUUCUAUAUUAUAAAGUGACUAAUACAUUUUAUAUAUUUUAUAUAAUCAUCUUACUAUGAUAAAAAUUUAUGACAUAUAUUUAAGAGUAUAAAAGUACGGCUGUAGAUUUUUUUUUUUUAAUUAUUUUUCUUGUUUUACUUUUUAUGUUUGUCUUUUUUAUGUCACAAUAUUGAGGUGUGAUGGCCUUUAUUUUUUAUGUAUCAUUAAUUUUUUAGUUUUUCACAUUCUUGAAAACCUUUUAUUUAAUAAAAUAGUUAAAUUCUCACUAUCUAAAAAUAUUUUUUUUAUAAAUUAUUAGCUUUAAAUUAAUUUAUUAAUUAUAUUUCACUAUCAUUUGAUGUUUGUUGCAUAAAUAAAAUGAUAAUCUGGGUCAUGGGACCAUCAAAAUAAAAAUACGUUUAUAAACUCUAAUCUCUUUUAAUAUUUCAAUUUGAAAUAGAAACUCUUAAAUUUGUGUGUAUUUGGAUAAAUUUAUCUCUUAAAGGACUUUUUGCAAAAGCGUUAUGUGGCGAUGUGCACUUGCAAUGAUAAAAGGUCAAAUAUUGAUGUAAUUUUAAGGUAAUUGUAUAUCAUUAAGUUAUUUUUUAUUAUGUGUUAUUAGUUAUAAAACACACAUAUGUUCUAAUAUGUCUAAGGGUCUCCAAAAAGCCCGCGGGCCGCGGCCCGGCCCGACGGGCUAAAGCCCGGCCCAAGCCCGGCCCGAGCCCGUUUAUGGGCGGGCCGGGCCGCGGGCCUAAAUUUAGGCCCGACGAGCCGGCCCAGCUCGGCCCGUAGGCCCGCCUUUAAUUUUUUUUUAAAAAAUAAUAUACUUUAUUUUUAUAUAUAUAUAAGUAAUUCAUUUAAUAAGUACAAAAGGAAUGUAGCUUAAUUGGUUAUAGCCUUAAAAUUUAAGCUUGAGGGGAGGGGUUCGAAUCCCUCCUUCUCCCUUCCUUUAUUUAAAAGCCAUUUUGGCUUAUUUAAAAAAGCCCGCGGCCCGGCCCGCUGGCCCGGCCCGCCCAGCCCGGCCCGCCCAGCCCGUCCCCCAGCCCGCCAGCCCACUAGCCCGUGGGCUUAUAGGCCGGGCCGCGGGCCUAGCAUUUUAGCUCGGCCCGGCCCGGCCCGCCCGUUGGAGACCCUUAAAUAUGUCAAACUAAAAGUGAAAAUGAUCAAUAAAUAUAUUUGACUUAUUAAUUAAGUUUCAAAUUUCAGGAGAAAAAAAUAUAAGAAAAGUAAAGCGAGGGAUAGGAUAUAUGAAUAGGUCUAAGCCUUUAUAUGUUCGACGGAAUGCAAACACCAAUAAAUAAUAUUAGAUACAACAUAAAUGUUAUAUUUAAAAUAAUAAUUGAUUUUAUUUUAAUAUAAUUCUAAAUCAUUAUUAUAAAUAAUAAAAUAAAUUACUAAUAAUCAUAACAAUUUCAUAUUGUAUUACAAUAAUUAAUUAUAUAUAAAUAAUUUACAACCUUUUACUAUUUCAUUUUGAAUGUAACCAUUCUUGUAUAGAAGUUUCAUGACUAACAUAGACCUCAAUUAGAUGCAAAAUCAAUUUUUAAAAAAAAAGUUUAAUAUAUUUUACCCCCUCAGUCUAUCUCAUGUUUUACACAUUUCCCUUUUAGGUUUAAAAUCAAACAUAUUGAACCACAAACUUCUUAAAUUGCAACACUCUAUCUUUUUUGUUGGAUGGUAUUAGUUUAAAUGGACAAAAAUCUCACGUGUUGUGCACAUGACUAACUAAUGAAGGGUAGACGUGUAAAUUCCCAAACCCAAAAAUCCCUAAACAGCUCUUCCUCUCUCAAUCUUCAUCUUUGUUUUCGUUUGUAACACAUUGCACCCCUAGUCCUUUUUUUUUUUUUUUUUUUUGACAAUAAUGCUUAGUCACAAAAAAUAAUAACUCUUUUACUUUCUUAUAACAUAUUUUAGAACAACUAUUCUAAAAUCUCAAAUUAUUUGUAUGUGUGUAUAUGUACUUUUCUUAUAAAAUUUUUUACAUCACAAGUGAUUAAACCACACAAAUUUAUAAUAGAUAUAGGAUUAUUGUUUUUUUUUACAUAUAUAAUACAUCACAUAUGUAUUUACUAUUAUAGUAUAUAAUAUUUAAUCAUGAAAAAUUAAAUAGAUAAAUAAAAAUGAUAUUAGAGAUUUAUAUCUAUUUCAUGAUGAAUAAAUAUCAUGGUAAUAGCAUUUGUUAUUUUGCAAUGAUAAAAGUUAAAACUUAGGAAAAUUUAAAAUUUGAUUUUUCAUUUUUGACAUAAACAAUUUUAUUUUAAAUUUAAAAUCUUCGUUUCUUUGACAUUUCUUUUUCUUUUUUAAAGAUAAUAAUGUUUGUAUGCAAAUAAGAAUUGAUAACGAAUGAAAAUUAACUUGAAAUCUUAAUUUCUUUUCUCAAUCUUUUACUGUUUUAUCGAUAUAAUUAUGGAAAAUAAUUUUAAUUUGAGAUGAAUGUAAAGAUAGUUUUAAUUUUGAAUUCAAUUAAAAGUACAAUAUAUCUUUUUUAACAUCAAGUGGUUUAUAGAUGAGAUGACAAAAAAAAGUGGUUAGAGGGUGAAAUAUCAUGAGCUCAAAUCAUAACAAUUACAAGUUAAUACUAUGAUCAUUAAAGGGUUAAAAUGUCUUCCCUAUAAACCUAAGAUAGGUGUUGGGACAGUUGUUAUGACUUUAGAAAUUGAUUCAACCAUAAAACAUUCCUAAAGCAUAAACAAUAAAUUAUCAUUAAAAAAUCUUUUAUCACAAAACUAGAUAAAACAUGACCAAUAAUUUAUUAUUAAAAAAUCUUUAGCAAUAAAACUAGAUUUGUCACUAAAGAUAUCUCUUUUGUGAUGAAAACUUUUGUCAAAAAGAAUAUGGAUUUUGUGAUGAAACUAUAUAAUUGUCAAAAAAAAAAAAAAAUUAAUGACAAAAUGGUAUGAUCUAAUGGCAAAAUUAUUUUAUUUUCUAUAAUUUUUUAUUUAUUUAUUUGCAUCAUAAAAUUGUGAUAUUCCAUGACAAUUCCAAUUUCAUCACCAAAACUUAAUAUUUUAUGACGAAAUAGAAGAUUUGUAAAUCAUGAAUUUUAGUGACAAGCUUUUGUCAAUGAACCUUGUCACAAAAAAAUUUCUUACAAUACCCUAUUAGUGACAAAUUAUUGUUUAUUUAUGACAAACACUUUUGUGGCAAAAACUAAUAUUUGUUGUAGUGCACAGAAUAAAGUCGCAUACCUCUAAAGAGGUUUAUAUAGGCUUCCCUGUGGACUUAAGUAAUUUGAAUCCAUGUUGGGUUUGAGCCACUAAUCUAACCUACUUGGGUCAUAAUUAAUGAAGUAACCAUAUUUGGCUCCAAUAAAUUAAUCAACCUAGUCCAAAAAGACCAUGCAUGCUCUUUUGCACAACCUUUUAUUUUUACCAAAAUGUCUUUAUGCACAUAUGUUAACAAGGAACCUAAAUAUCCCUUAAUAAAUUUGUCAUCAAGGAAUAUGACUUAAGUGAUGCCCAUAAGGACCCAUAAGAAAAUAUUGGCUUCCUCAUAAUUAGAUUUUUAAGUUGACCAACACGUCGCAACAGAUAAUCAACUACACUCUAGUAUUCAUAAUCUAACAAGGUAUACGUUAUCAAUCUCUCAAGAUUAUCUUUUCAAUCAUUGAGAUUCAAAUUCUCCUAUUAUGUGAUCAAUUGACAUAGUCUAGCUCUCCAAGAGUAUACAUCGAAUUCAAAUUAAGAAAUUACUAUGAUGAUAGUUUUAUUGAUCACAUGUUCUUAGGAUCACUCAAACACUAUAAUAAAUAUCAAUUUUUAUCAUGAAAGUGAUUGUCAUAGAUAAACAAUAAUUUGUACUAUUAGUGCAUUAUGACAAAAAAAAUAAUAAUUUGUCAUUAGGUUUGUAGACACAGUCGCAUCAAUGAAAGUUAUGAUCCGCAAAUUUUCUGUUUCAUCAUGAAAAAUUAAGUGUUGGUGGUGAAAUUAGAACUGUCAUUGAAUAAUCACAUUUUAUGAUGUGGAAAAUCGUCAUAGAAAAUAACAAUUUUUUUCACUAGAUCCUACCAUUUUUUCACUAAAAGAUAUAUUUUUUGUGAAAAAAAAUGAUAUAAUUUUGUCACCAAACAUAUAUUUUUAUGAAAAAAGCGUUCAUCAUGAAAGAGGUAUCUUUAGUGACAAAUAUAAUUUUGUAGCAAAAGAUUUCUUUUGAUGAUAAUUUAUUGUUAUCACUUUGGAAUAUUUUAUAAAGCUCGAGUCAAUUUCUAAAUUCAAGAUGUUAAUAUUAACUUGCGAUUCUUGUGAUUUGAACUCAUGACCUUUCACUCUAAAAACACUUAUUUUAACCAUAUCAUCGAUAAACCAAUUGAUGUUUAAAAAUGUAUUCUAUAUUUUUAAUUGAAUUCAAAAUUAUAAAUAUUUAUACAUUAAUCUUAAAUUAGGAUUAUUUUGCAUAUUCAUAUUAAUGAGGUAAUAAAAGGUUGAGAAAAAAAAAAUAAAGAUUGCAAAUCAAAUUUCAUAAAAUUAUCAAUUCUUAUUUGCAUACAAACAUUAUUAUCUUUAAAAAAUGCUAUGAAUAUGGAACUAACUGGGGUACAAAAGUGAGUUGCAAAUAAUUAGGACAACAAGAAUAGUACCUUAAUAAAAUCCACGCGUCCUCUUUUACCUUUUGUUUAUUACUUUUUCAUUAAAUAGGGAAUUAUUUUUUUGAAAAAAAAAAUGUUCACUAAAAGUUACAUCAACUCUACUAUGGGCCACUCUAUAAUGGUUUUUGCUUCCUGAUGUUUUGGAUACAACAAUGUAAGAUCAAACUGGUUGGCUCUAUGGAUCCACAACAGAAGACAUCCUCACAGGAAUGAGGAUACAUUCAAAAGGUUGAAAAUCCAUUUGAAUUCUUUCAUGGGGUCUACAGUCAAUUCCCGAGCUUUGCCAGCAUAUUGCAUCAUGGUCGGCUCACAUUUCUUACCUAAGGAGAUGAAAACAAAAACCAUUUAGCUUUCUACAUAAAUAACAUUCUUACUUCACCAACCGUUGUUUUAUUAUCAUUUGAUGGUCCUAUUGAAAAUAACUUAAUUCUAAAUAUUUUCUACUUUAAAAAUGUAACUGGCCACCAUACCUAAAAUCUCAAGCUAGUAAUGUAAAAAAAAUGUGCCCAAUGAUGUAGGUCCAAGAGCUAGCUGUGUUGAUACCAAUAUCUCUCUUUGUCAGUUACAACUUUGACACUAUUGGAACAUAGUAGGGUUGGGCUUUCAAUCCGAGCAUGCUGGAACAACUUAAGGAUGGGGAGAAUAACCCUAGUGACUUCAUGGUUAUUUUGAUUUUUCAGUGUCAUUCUAAAACUCCUGGGUUGUUGGAGACCGUCUUUGAAGUUACAAAAAAGGAUGUUGGCGGGUUCACCUUUUAUGGGUCCCUGAUUUUUGUUCCAGCCACUACUCUUGUGUUGUUGCAUAUGGUAGCAGUGGUUGUUGUUGAUACCUAGUCAAUGGAGAAUUGAUUCCUUCUUCGAAGUGACAGUGGAAGCUUCUAUUCAAACACUAGAAUCUGGACUUCCUGCUUUCCUGCACAAAGAUGUUCAAACGGGUUGUUUGGACACACCCUCCGAAGCUUAAGUCAGAUUGGAAGCCCUUAGAGAGAGAGAAAGAGAGAGUUGGUUCGAGAACUUAUCUCCUCCCCCUGUUUUAUUGUAGUAGGGUUUUUAUAAUGUUCCGCGGUGAAAAGAGGGCUCAGCGGUGCUGAGUUAGCCCUGGUAAUGAAGAUUGCAUAGUAGUGAUAGGGCAAUCAUUACAUUUAUAGGGCAAUUGGGGGCUAUGUUAGGCAGCACGUCAUGAUAUAGCUUGUCAUUCCUCCAACCUUGCACCUAUCGAGGUAGACGUAAGGAUGAGAAGAGUCCCAUCAGUCAAUCUGGUGUUAGUUGGGCAGGGUCUAGCAUAUCAGAAAAGAUUUGAGGCUAUCAAAGAGGUGAGGGUUGCUUGGCAGCGCAAAUGAUCUAGGCAAGAUGCCCCAGAGUACCUUGAAGGUUGUCCGAACAAUGAUGAAAGAUGUGACAUGUGGCCUAACCGAAAGAAUGACACGUGGAUAGACACGUGGAAGUAUUCGUGGGUGGACACGUGGGAUAAGGUCCCUACAAUGCCCUCUUCAACACUUGCACUUGUGUCCGGGCAAGAAUGGAUGGGUUGAAACUGUCCUCUGGAGUCCCCCAGUGUGAGUAUGACACAUGUCAACCAUUUAUUGGGGGACACUUCCUCAGAGGCGUUCUGCUAGGUGGCGUGUCGCUUCGGGUUAUACAGUUUGAUGGCUAUCUUUUAGGAUCCCUAGGGUUUUGGUUCCUUAUAAAUAAGGAAACCUUAAGCCUUUUGGGUUUUUACUUGGACGUUUUUUAUUCUAAAAGCUUUUCCUUAUGCCAUUACCCUUCUGUAUUCUGUGUUUUCUGGUCACCGUCGUUCUAUCGCCCUUUCAUUCAUUAUCUCGGACAUCUCUUGCAUCUUGUUCUAUAGCGACUCCAGUGGCUGUUCAACUUCUCGAUAGCCUCGUCAUUUUCACCAGUUUUGGUUCAGAAGGCGUAUCUUUUUCCAGCAGUGGUCCUUGAGACUUGUGGUAAGAUUUCUUUCCCAUAUUGGUUCUCUGUCUUUUCUAUUUGAUUGGUUGUAGUUAGGGAUUUGUUGGAUUUUGCACUGUUUGUUUGGUAGUGGUGUAUAGAAUGAAUUAUGCGUAGUUCUUUUCUAGUGAGAGAGGCCAUUGUUGGAGAUUAAUGUGGUCCUAAUAGGAUUGAGAGUGUUGUAGUUGGGUCAUGGUCAAAUGGGGAGAUCCUUGGAUGGGGUCUAUCCUAUAGGUUGAGCUCAGGCUCUGCCCGGUUACAGGCUUUGAACAAGUGUAGGUUGGCCUUUAUACAUCUAAGGCAUUGUUUUGAGAACAGGAGGGUUGGGUGACUACUCUUUAAUAUUCGGUCCUUGUGCUGUGCAGGUUCUACUCGGCCCACCAUAUUAGAAUGGCAUCUCGAGGGGGUGACACUUCUACCAAUGCGACUGGUAAGGACAAGAAGAAUGUUCGACCAAGAGAAGUUGUCGGACGAACACAGUCGAGGAAGUCUAUUGAACAACUUAAUGUACGGGAGUUCAGGGAGCGCUUUCGUACUCCGAUUAGCAUUCUGAUUCGUUUUUUGAGUAGUGACCCAGUGUCAACCAAGCAGGAGCCCGAUGCCAUUGUUUUUAGUAAGGAGCACUUCAACGUCAGGUUUCAAUUCCCUCUCAUUUCCCUGUUCAAGCAGUUUCUUCACUUCACCAAGAUUCCUCCAGUCUUCCUCCACCCAAACGUAAUUAGGGUACUGAUGGGGUGUAGCAUUCUGAGUAUGCCAUACCAUUUGGACCUUUUCUUACUAGAGGUCCUAUUUAUCUACACCAUCAAGAUAAGCGGAAAGAAAAUUUUUAGCUUAUUUUCUCAUAUUCCAUCUCUUCAACUGGUGACCAGACUCCCAGAUUCCACCAAGAGAGCAACUAAAGGAUGUGUUGUUGUUUCAGGCCCUUGGUUGGCCCAUAUGAGCAUCUAGAUAACCCAUUUGAGCCUCGUUGUUCGUUAGGGAUUUUGGGUAUAGUAAACCGUCGUACUCUUGCUUUGUAAUUCAUAAUUAUAGGAUUGCUGCUAACGUACAUUAUCUGGUGUACUAUAGAAAAGAUGAGGAGAGGUCGACUGGUAGAGUGGGUGGACAAGACUUUUUUUCGACCGGCUGAACAAAUUAUUCAUGAUUUCUGCUAGAAAACGGAAUCAUGAGACUCUAUUGAUUGAAGAAAAUUUACUGAAAUUGGUUCGAGAUCCGGUGUCAUACUUCAUUUCUUCCUCUCUUCCACAUUUUGCACCCAGAGUGGUGGUGCCCAACAAACAUUAUGUGGUGAAUGAUCUUCCUUUUUAUGCAGAGGCCCGGGCAACACACAAGAGGAAAAUGCUGGACCGGUUUGCCCAAAGAGAGAAGAAACACUAAGAUGGGACUCUGAGACAAGCUCUGGGUAGGAUUCAUCCAACCACCAGUUCUAUUGCUCGUCCUCCUCCUAAGAAGAAGUCCUUUCUUCAGCCUGCCGAGAAGACCUUGGAUUUAUCUCCGCUCACAUCCUCUCAUUUGUCUCCUUCAUCCUUAGCAAAGGUUGGCGUCGAUCAAGGCUCAUCCGACUCGCCUUCUGUGGGGGUCAGUUCGGACCAGGAGAUUGAGCCAACUGUGUCCUUCAUCAACCUAGAGCCAGAAGAAGAAGAAGAAACAGAAGAUAUGGCUCCAAAUCUGAGGGUCGGCUUCAAGGAAAGGCAUUGUAAGCGCAUAUUCAAGGCACUUCUGGCCAUACUCCUGCCUGUUAAGAAAAGUCGUCCGGAGGCCUCUCGUGAGGAAUCGGCUCCGGACACUCCUACGGGGCAUGUGCCCCCUUUUGAAGCAGCCCAACCCUACUUAGAGUUAAUAGUGGGGCCUCCUUCAGAUGACGCUUGUCUAGUAGGAGACGAGGUUCCUACAGCUGCUCCGAGCAGCAAAAAUAAGGGAAAAGAGGCUUUGGCUAUUCCUUCGAGCUAGGAGGAUGUCGUAACGUUACUAAAGACAGUUCCCUACUUUACGACGCUUGAGCUCCUAACUUUAGGCAUGAACGAAUUCUUUCCAUUAUCUCAUCGCCAUUUCGUCAACCUAGGCGGCAUCCCUCAUAUGGUCGGCAUGGUUUAACCCUCAUAUGUUGUUCUAGACUUUGAACUUCGAUGCACUUAUCUUCUGCUGAAGUACACUACUGAAGAGAUGGUGAAAGUGGUAGGCUUUAUUCUUCUUCAGCCCAAGUUUGCCUAAUCAUUCUGGUUCUGACAUCUAUUUUACUAUUGUUUCAAGGAGAUGGCUGCUAUUCAUAACUUGAUGCGAUAGUGAAGCUCACUUCUCAAAUGGUUAGAGAUUGCGGAGAGUAUGCCGGUAUUUCUUACCCAACAGGUAGAUACCAAUGAAGAACUCCACUCUCAACUUGGUCGGGUAUAGAGCGAGUUGGUCGCAGCUCGGAUAGCAACCGUUGAUAUAGAGAAAGGUAUGAGGCGGCUACAAGAGGAGACAUAGGCGGCGAAGUCUAAGGCUUGCCGGAUGGAAGAGGAAAAAGACGCUGUAGAGGCCAAAUGCAAAGGCGCUGAGCAAGAGAGUGAUCACUUGAAGAAGGAGCUCGAAGAGUUUUAGGCAGCCUCCGAGGCUCAAAAGAAACAACUUGAGGAGCUUCGAGUCGGAUUCACUACUGAGAAGGAGGCACUAACUAAAGAUUAUCAGAAGUAGGUGGAUGAGAUGUUCUUAUUCGGCUAUCAGUGCUGCUUGAGGAAGAACGACAUCACGCAAGACAUCCCCACCUAUCCUUCGGAUUACGAGGAAGACACAGUAGUAAGUGGUCCCACCCUAGGAGAUAAAGAUACGGAUGCUCCUGGUCCCUUUACUGGGCAAUGACUUUCAUAUUUUUCAUUUCUUCCAUCCGAACUUGUAAUGAAUUUUUCAUUUAUCGAUAUACACAUUCCACGCUUGGAGCAGGGGUGUUAUGUCUAGCAUUUACAGAUAGUAAGCCCCUGAAUCUCCAGCUUCAGAUACAAUGUAAGGUCCUUCCUAAUUUUCUUGGAGCUUCCCGACUUCCUGUUCAGCCGUAUUCUCAAAGACUUUUUUUAGGACAAGAGUCCCAACCAUGAAGGUAUGUAGUCGGACCUUCCAAUUGUAGUGGGCAACAACUCGUUGCUGGUAAGACGCCAUCUAGAUGGCUACGUUCCCUCUUGCUUCAUCUGCCCAAUCUAGGUGUCUUUCAAGUUCCGUACAUUCGUUUCUCUGGCCUUGAAUGGUAAUCCGAGCUGUGGGCAUGCCUAUCUCUAUUAGGAUAAUCGCAUCCAUCCCAUAGGGUAGGGCAAAAGAGGUGGUUCCCAUUGGUCGUCCGGGUGUUGUCCGAUAGGCCCACAAGACUCUAGGCAGUUCAUCAACCCACAUUCUUUUGGCUUUCUCCAACAAUUUCUUUAGUGCAGAAAGCAGAGUCUUGUUUGUUGCUUUUACUUGCCCGUUGCUUUGAGGAUACCGAGGAAUGGAAUACAAGUUUUUGAUUUUCAGCUUUGAGCAUAAGGUUCUGAAGGCAAUGCUAUCAAACCGUGGCCAAUUAUUAGCUAUAAUUGCCUAUGGGAUUCCAAAUCGGCAAAUGAUGUUUUUCCAAAGAAACUCGGAAACGUAUUUGUCUUUGAUGGUGGCAUAUGCUUCUACUUCUACCCAUUUGUUGAAGUAAUCAGUGGCUAUAAGCAAAAACUUUUUCUACGCAACAGCGAUGGAUAGGGGCCCCACUAUGUUCAUUCCCCAUUGCGCAAAGGGUCAAGGGCUUGUGACCGGAUUUAGGUCAUCAAAGGGCAUGUGGGGAAUGGGAGCGUGCCUUUGGCACCGAUCACACCUCUUGACAUAGUUCGCAGCACCUUGUUUCAUGGUAGGCCAAUAGUAUCCUUGUGAAUGAGCGUGAUGUGCUAAGGUUUGUCCCCCUGCGUGAUUGCCACAUACGCCUUCAUGUAGCUUUGUCAACACAUACUGUGUCUUCAUGUUGUUUAAGCAUCUGAGGUACGAACCUCUAAAGGAUUUCUUGUAGAGGAUAUCCCCAAUCAAAGUGAAGCGGGCUGCUUGCACUCGUAUGUUAUGAGUCUGCUUACUUUCUUCAAGAAGACUUUCGGUCCGGAGAUAUGUCUCAAUUUUGUUCAUCCAGCCAACGCUUACUUCAUUAGUGGAGCACACAGAUGCGACAACUAUGGAUGACGUAUCCUGGAUGUAGAUGGCCAGUAACAUUGCUUUUUCACAAGGAGAGUAGCUACUAUUCCAACUAAGGCGUCUGCCUAGGUGUUUUCUGAGCGGGAGAUUCUCUUGGUGACCCAUUUGUUCAAUUUGUCCAAGCUAGUUUGUACAUUUGAAAGGUACCAAGCCAUGCGCUCGUCCUUAGCUUCAUAUUCUCCUUGAAUUUACCUAACAACUAGCUAGGAGUCACUGCGUAUUUCGAGCUUGGAUGCUAACAAAGUUAGAGCAAGGCUAAGUCUAGCGAGGAUUGCUUCAUACUCGGCCUCAUUAUUAGAGACUAGGAAUCCAAGCCAAAUAGCCUACUCCAAUUGCUCUCCGAUUGGGGAUUGCAAGAGGAGACCCAUUCUGGAUCUUAAGGCUUAGGAUACCUCGUCGAUGUGCAAUAUCCACCACCUCUUUUCAGGAUAGUUUGCACCAUGAUGAGGUUUUUGGGGUGUUUCAGCUAUGAAGUCAACCAUGACCCGUCCUUUCAUUGCCAGCCUAGGUUAAUACUUGAUUCCAUACUCACUUAGUUUAAUGGCCUACCUUAACCGUCUCCUGGAUAGGUCUGGUUUGUGCAGAAUGUUUCUGAGGAGUUGAUUUGUGAGUAUAAUCACUUGAUGAGCUUGAAAGCAAGGGCGGAGGUUUCGCGCAACACUCCUCAAGGCUAAGGCUGUUUGUUCUAUUUUCGAAUACCAGGUUUCUGCGUCAACCAUUGUUUUGCUUACGUAGUAGACGAACCUUUGCUCCUUGUCAUCUACGCAGCGGAAUAGAACAACACUGACAACACAAUCAGAUACUGCUAAGUACAUAUAUAAUUGCUCACCAGGUCGAGGACUGAUUAGAAUGGGUGGGUGAGUGAGAUAGCGUUUAAUCUUCUCGAAUGUUAGCUCGUAGUUAGUUGUCCACCCUACCGUGCUAGUUCAUUUCAGUGUGAGGAAGAAGAGCCUUAACUUGUUUGUAAAUCAGGCUAUGAAGCCUCCUAAUGUAGCCAGACGGCCUAUGAGGCGUUGUAGCUCCUUUUUGCAACUUGGGACAGAUGUUUCCAUGAUACCUUUAAUUUGGUAUCGAUUGGCCUCUAUGCCUUGUGUAACCAUGAACCCUAAAAUCUUGUCUACACUAACCCCAAAUGCGCAUUUGGCCGGAUUAAGUUUCAUAUUGUACCAUUUCAUCAAGUGAAAGAUUUCUUCUAAAUGCUAGGCAUGCUCAAUCCUGGUCCUGUUCUUCACCACAAUGUUUUCAAUAUACACCUCUAUCGUGCGUUUGAUUAAAGGUUUGAAGAUCUUCGUCAUCAACCGUUGGUAAGUGGUCCCAACAUUCUUGAGUCCAAAUGACACGACUUUGUAGCAAAAGAGUCUGUGUGGCAUUAUGAAGACGGUUUUCUCUUCAUUUGGUUGAUACAUAGGGAUUUGGUGGUACAAAAAAAAAACGUCCAGGAAGGAGAGCAUUCCAUGUCCGGCAGUUGAGUCAACUAUUUGGUCUAUUCAUGGUAAUGGGAAGCUAUCUUUUGGGUAGGCAUCAUUCAAGUUGGUGUAAUCGACACAGACCCGCCAUUUGCCUUAUUUUUUCGGGACAACCACUACAUUCGCCAACCACUCUGGAUACUCUAUUUCCCUGAUGAAUCCAACCGCCAGUAACUUUUCUACCUCGACUUGGAUGAAUUUUUGCCUAUCCGAGUGGAAGCAUUGGACCUUCUGGCAAAUAGGUCGUGAGGAAGGGACAACAUUGAGUCGAUAUAAGGCUAUUGAUGGAUGAAUGGAUUUCGAGCAUAUCGAAAUGGGUCCAUGUGAAGACACCUUUAUUACGCUAAAGUACCUCUAUGAGAGCUCUUACUUCUUCCGUCAUGAAGAGUGAGCUAAAAUAGGUGAAGUGAUCAUUUUCUUUUAAGAGAUGUAUGAUCUACAGGGGGUCGGCUGUUAGCAAAUCUCUUUCCACCGAGCACUAUAAUUGCUAUUGUUCCUUUGUACUAGUUGGUUCAGUAGGAGGCUUAGGAACACUUGUGGACCCGAAUUCUCAUGUUACUUGGUAACAUUGUCAUGCCGCUAAUUGGCUUCCAAAAAGGUUAACCUGUCCAUCCUCAGUCAAGUAGCUCACUAUUUGGUGAUAUGUGGAGGGGAUGACCUUCAUGCCAUGCAACCAUGUGCGUCCCAUGAUGGCGUUGAAAUGGGACAAGUCUUCUAUGAUUGAUAACAGCACAUUGAGGACCACUAGCUCAACUUGGACAAGUAGCACGACAUAUCCCAGAGAUGUCGUUGACACUCCAUUGAAUCCUAACAGUAUCUGUCCGGGAUUUUCUAAAGCGAAUGGUGAGAACCCCAUUUGUUAGAACGCGGACAUCUGUAACAAGUCGGCUGAGCUGCCUGGAUCAACUAAGAUCCGCCUUACAUCGAAAUCAUUGAUUCCCAACGUCAUGAUGAGGGCGUCUUGAUGCAAAUGUAAUACCCGAUUGGGGUCUACUAGGGGAAAAGUGAUUGUCCCAUCUAUUAGGCGUACCCCCCCUUCAGUCAAUCAUGGUUGGAUUGAGUUAAUCCGUUCUCGUAUGGAGGCGGCUCGGAGCAACCUUUGUCUCUUCCGCUUAGAGUUGUAUUCCUCAUCGACGGGCCCUCCAUGGAUGUAAUUGAUCAUGGCUCUAGGAGUUGCUGAAGUUGUAGGGGUUUGAGCAUCCGGAUCUUGGUUUGUCUGUGCUCGUCUCCUUUUUGAGCAGACGUACUGCUUUAGGUGUCCGACUCUUACCAGUUUUUCCAGUAGGUAAUGGAGACUUCUGCAUUGCUCCAUGGUGUGGUCAUGUUCCUUAUGGCAAGCACACUUUCUACUCCAAUCCCGCUUAGUAGGAUCCGUCUUGAUGGUUUCUAGCCAUCUAAAAUCAGCCAGAUCCCGGAUCAAAGGGAAGAGCUUGUCGUAUGAAAUGUUGAGGGGGGUGAGGCUGGCUUGGCUUGACUAAUGUCGUCCGCCUUACCCUCUUCCUACCUACCUUCGUUGGCUUGUAGUCUUAGAGCCCUUGGGUGAGUCAUUCCUAGCAAGUUGACUGGUGACCAGAACCUGCUGGGUAGCUGCACGGACAUCGUCUUUGAGCAUGGAGUACUUGUUUACUCGUCUGAAUAGAUCGUCCAUAGUUAUAGGAGGCUUUUUUGCGAAAAAUUAAAACAAGGGUGUACCUGGGCAACUACUCCUCUUAAAGAUUUGCAAGACGACAUCCAUGCUAUAAAAUUCUACUUGAAGUACAACCUGCCCAAAAUGCUUUACAAACUCCCUCAAUGAUUCAUUCUCCUGCAUUUUUACAUUUUACAAGGUAUUGAUGUUUUUUUUUAUGUCAUGCUGAGCACAGGUAUUGUCCCACGAAGGCCUCCGAUAGAUCUCGGAAGUUAUCGACGAAAUUCAUCGAAAGACGGUGGAACCAUGAGAGAGCCUGACCUUGGAGGCUGGCUGGAAAGACCUUGCACAGUAGCGUAUCAUUCCCUAUGUCAAGGGUCAUGAGCUGCCUGUAGUGCAUGAUAUGGUCGAAUGGAUCACUGGAUCCGUCAAAUGCAGAGAAUUUUGGAAUUAUGAACCCUCGUGGGGGCUCAUAGGUGAUGAUGUCAGGGGUGAAAAGCGUGGAGAACAUAUCAUCCAAUCGCCUACUGGCAAAACCGGGGGGACCUCUGUUUGUCAAACCCCCUACUGGUUGUUGUGUUGGCAUAUGGGGGAGCCAGUCUGUGAUGAUAGGUGCAGUUAAGGGGCUAAGAUAUGCUUCAUGGGCCAUUGCUUCAUAUAGUUUCCCCAUUAUGUUAAGCGUCUGAGGCCCUAGCCUUGUGUGCAUUAUGUCUGAUAGUUGGGACUUCCUAUCGCGUCUUCUCUUUGUUGAGACACGAGUGGAAUUUGAGCUUUCAUCCUACUGCGCGUGAUAGGCUGAUAGAGAUCUUUGUUCAGGUAUUCUUUCUGGUUCAUUGGAGGGGAACCCUGUGUUUCUAAGAUAUGUUGCCUCCUCGUUUUACCUAGAGUUCACUUGCUGACUUCUUGGUUGUCGGCUACGAGGAGGGCCCGAUGAGGAUACCUGAAUACGCAACACGUUGUUUUCUUCCUCGAGUCUCCUUGUCUCUUGGAACAGAGCUUGCACUUGUCGUUCACUCUCUCGUUGGCGUAUCUCCAUACUUGCACGCCAGCCAAAGUAACUCUCGUCACCCAUGGCUGUUGAGCAACUUCUAGAGGGUGUUGAUAUUUUUGUUCUGCUUCCCAUAGACGGUGCCAAUGUUGAUACCUAGUCAACGGAGAAUUGAUUCAUUCCUUGAAGUGAUAGUGAAAGAUUCUAUUUAGACGCUGGAAUCUGGACUUCCUGCUUCCCUGCACAUAGAUGUCCGGACGGGUUGUCCAAAUAUACCCUCCGAAGCUUAAGUCAUAUUAGAAGCCCUUAGAAAGAGAGAGAGAGAGAGAGAGUUGGUUCGAGAACUUAUCAUUUCCCCCUGUUUUAUUGUAGUAAGGUUUUUAUAAUGUUCUGCGGUGAAAAGAGAGCUUAGGGAUGCUGAGUUGGCCCUAGUAAUGAAGAUUGCGCAGUAGUGACAGGGCAAUCAUUACAUUUGCAAGGCAACUAGGGGCUAUGUCAGGCGACACAUCAUGAUAUAGCUUGUUGCCCUUCCAAACUUGCACCUACUAAGGCAGACGUAAGGAUGGGAAGAGUCCCAUUAGUCAAUCUGGUGUCAGUUGGGCAAGGUCUAACAUAUCAGAAAAGAUUUGAGGCUAUCAAAGAGGUGAGGGCUGCUUGGUAGCGCAAAUGAUCCGAGCAAAAUGCCCCUAGGUACCUUGAAGGGCGUCCGAAUAGUGAUGAAAGAUGUGACACAUGGCCUAACCAGGAGAAUGCCACAUGGAUAGACACGUGGAAGUAUUCGUGGGUGGACACAUGGGAUAAGGUCCCUACAGUUGCAACCUUGAUAUGACCAUCUCAUGUUGGGGUUGAAUCAAGAAUAGGAGAGGUAAUAUGUAGUGUAUGGCUACUACUAUGCUUCUUGCCAUUUUUGAAAGGCCUAUUUGGGAAAUGAAAAAAAUGAGAUACCUACAUCCACCAUAUGCAAGUCAGCAGCUUUGGCACUGUUUUUUCUUGCUUUCAUUAUUAUAGGUAAAAGAAAGAGUUUCAAGAAAUUCAAUUGAAACGAGGGAAUCUUUACUUUGUUAUGACAUGCAUCAUCCCACUGGUUUAAUAUAAGGCAAAUUUAAACCUUUCUUGAGUCCAUUUUUCUUCUCCCGAGUCUUACCUUUUUUACUUUCUUCUUCUGCCAAGUGCCAACAAAAUGGUAUUUUGACAUUUUUCUUUUCACCACAACUACAGCUAUAACUUUGUGGGUGAAAUGAAAUCAUGAUCAUGUUGUUAAACCACCAAUUUAAUCUAAAACCAUACAAAACCAACUUGAGUAUUUUAAUCAACCUUUUGCUUUCAUGUAAGUUUAGUAAAUAGAAAAAAUAAAUAUUUUGGUUUCCUAUCAAUUAAGGCUAUGAUAAAGUAUCAAUUAAAUUGCUUGAAAGCCUAGCAUUAAUAAGGAAUUAGAGUGCGUUUGUUGGGCUUUUAGAUGAAGUAUUUUUUCUAGAAGGAUUUUUGGUAGAAUUACUAUCAAGACUGAUAAAUGAUUUUUCAACAAGCUUGCCAAAUUGGCUCUUAGCAUGUGUCAUGCCCGACAAUGCAUUUCAUAUUUUCUCAAUUCAAUAUAAAUAUUCAAGUUUCUCAUUUUGAUUAAAGUUCCUCAAUUACAUGCUUUUCUAGUACUCAAAAGACCUUGUUUGGAUAUUUAAUUUUUUAAAACAUGUUCUAGGUUUCCUCUUUUUACUAGUUUUGAAUUCCUAUAGAUUAUCUUCUUCCGUUUGUGUGCAACUUCUAUAUACAACUCUUUCCAUCUUCUCUCAUCGCCGAAACCAUGCUCCUUAGAAGAGGCAAGGUUAUGUGUAACUUGUAUAAAUUCAUAUAAUCAAUCCAAGAAUGUUAAUCCAAGAAUUUUGAGGUCAGUCUUUUCAUUAUAUCUUCUUUAUGAUAUCAGAGUAGGAUUGUCAUGCCUCGAAUUCUGGGCAACCCAGAAUUCGACUCGUGACCUUAGCUCAAAGGUUUGAACCUAAGGGUUAUGUCUAUCCAAGUUGGCAAUCAGUCUUGAAAAUUAACCUGAUUUUUUUUUUUUUUAAAAAAACAAAACAAAAUAACAUCUAACCUCAAAUAAAUUUACUAACCUAAGACUUACUAUAUCAUAGUAUUUUACUUCAUUUUAUUUAUCUCCAAAACCAACCAUUACUUGUUCAUAAGUAUAAUAAAUCCACCUAUCAUUUUUCCACACUAGAUAAUAACCCAAAUAGUUACAAUAAUCUUUAAGUCAAAAAGAAUAUUUCCAAAAAUGUUUUACAAACUAACAAAAUAUAAUUUAAGUUAUAAAAGUCCAUAUAACUCAAAUUAGUACAUUUCAAAAAGGUAAUAUAAAUGAAAAACAACUAAUAUUAUGGUUCUCUUACUUUCUGGGGCUUUCUGGAACACUUCCUGAUCUUCUUAUAGUUCUUUAAAAACUAUAUCCGUAUUUAAAAAUUUUAGAAAAUAAAGGGUGAGCAUUUCCACAUUACUUAAUAGGGUGUUUUAUACCCCAAAUGGGUUAUAAAUUAUAGGUCAAUAAAAUACAAUCACUUAUUAAAAUAUAAUAUUAUAUCUAUAUUGUAUACAUUAAAUGAAUCACAACUAUACAAAUUUAAACCAAUCAAAAUUAUCGCUUCUCUUAUUCAAUCAUAUGCCUAACAUAUCAACAAUUCUAAAUUCACCAAAAUAAACAAUUCAUUUUAGUUUCGAAUAAAAUAUUUGAAACAUCCUGUUAAUAAAUAAUAUCAAUCAUUCUUUCAAAUGUAACAUGAUGCAAAUGCUUACACACAAUCAUGCAAUACAUUGUUGUUCUCGAGUUUUCACUUAAAUAUACGCAUCCGUACCCAAAUACACUCCCCAUUCGAAGUCUUUCCAAGGUAAUAAACUUUUGGGUCUUUCACCAUAGGGAUCUCACUCUCUUCUUAAUUCACCUCUCACGGACCUUUCAUUUCUCAUUUCUUUUUUCCUUUCAUUUUUGCCUCUUUGAGGUCUUUUCAUUCUCAUUUCCAUUUCACACAACCAUUUCUUCAUUUUUCUCUUUCUUCACACAACCAUGAUGCAUAUGAAGGGCAAUCAAAUCAUAUUUUAACAUCCAUAAUUUUUUAGGACAUAAUUCUAUUUCCUCCCAUUAUAUUUCAUAAUUUUCAACAAUCCACACAACAAUUUUUCUUCACUUUAAUCACGACAAACAUCAAAGAAAAUUCACAAUUAAUUUGUAUAGCAUCAAAACAUAGUUUUAAACCUUAACCACAUAAAUUCUAUUUAUUCCCUACAUGCUUAAUAAUUUUCAACAACUAAUAUAACAAUUUUUUUUCUUCAAUUAAAUAACCACACAUAUCCAAGAAAAUUCUCACUAAUACAAAUAUCAACAAAAACAUAAUUUAUGUCAUAAUAUAUUUACCUCCAAUAAUCUCAAUAAUUUUAACACCCAAUACAACAAUUUUCCACAAUUAAGCCACCACAACGUUCGGGAAAUUUUUUCCAAUAAUUCAAAUAUUAACAAAAACCCAAUUUAUAUCAUCAAUUUAUUCAUUUAUAAUAAUAUUAAUAAUUUUAAAACAAUCAUCUUAAACAUAUCUCAAUACUCAAAAUUUUGAACAAAUAAUUUUUAUUAUUUUCAACACUAACAUAUCACCAAUAAAUUUAUAUAAUUUCUAACAUGACAACAAUCAUAAAAAUAUACUAACCAAUAUUCCAAUAAUUUUUUUUUUCACAACCAGAACAAUAUGGUUCAUUCUAUCACGAGAAUAACAAUUAAAUACCAACAAUUAUAAUAUUUUUAUAUUGCAUUAAACUUUCAUUUGCUUCACAUUUAACAUUUUCAAAGCAAAACUAAAUCAUUUUACACGUUUAGGGUUUCCAAAAACAACCUAAAAGAAAACUAUAUGACGAUCUACUACACCCAACAACUCACCCAUUUCCAUGGAGGUUUUUGAAAAUAAAUAAAAGUAAAACGAAAAGCCCCAAAAAAGUCGAGAGAGAAAUUUAGGAAAAACACACCCCUACCUGUACAGUAAAACCCAAUUGUAUGAUCGAAAAUCUGAUUUAGUAGAAUAAAAUAAUAUUUUUGAAUAAAGUUAUAAAAUAUUAUAAUAUUUUAAUUAUUUAUAAAAUAUAUUUAUUUUAAUGUGAAUAAAAAAAUUAAAAAAAAAUUUAAAAAUAUAUAUUUUAAAAAGAAUCUAAAAAAAUUCAAAUAAAAGUUUAAUAGGACGAGAUGAGGUGGGUAUGGGAAAUUCGUAUACUUGUCUUGUCCUAUUUAAUUUUUUUAAUGAGAUGAUGAUAAAAAUUAUUUGAAUAAAUGGGACGGGGUUGGGACAGGGAUAACCCAUCUCUAAUCCAUUUUGUUGCCAUCUCUACAUGAUUGAAGAGGAUAUUUUUUGACAUGCAAUUUUUCUUAUAUUUUAUGUUAUUUUCAAAACUCCUUGUGCAUUAGAGUUGUAAACAUGAAUGAUUAAUUGAAUAAAUGAGGAUAAAGAUAAUGUCACAUCAAUAUGCAUUCCACAAAAAGGAAGAAAUUGAGUGGGAGCAUGUACCGGCUUCAUCAGCCGGCAAUCAUGCAAAAUUUGGUUGAUAUUUACUUCUAUUGUGGACUUUACACCAAGUUUACUCUAUCAUAUGGGCCAAUUAUCCAUCUCUAUCGCCCUAAAGCAUCAGUAUCCCCUAUUUGUCUUUUUGGGGAAAAACAUAAUAACCAGGUUGCAGGGUCAAUUUGGUAGGGUACACUGUCGAGUAUUGUGGACUUGGCCGCAAAGUACGACCACUGCACCUGACAUGAUCUCUAGGCCAUGGUUUCUUCCACAUGAAUUUUCCCUUUUCUAAAUUAUGUUCAACGAUAUCAUCAUGGAGCUGCCUGCCACGCUUCUAUAAUUCAAUCUUGACUUACCUUGAAGAUCAUGCAUGCUUUUGUCUUCCACAUUCAUUUUUCCAAAUCUUUAAUGCAGCUAGAUGAUUAAUUGCAAAUUUAUGUUGAUUAACUCUUGUAUUUUUUUAUCAUGCACGAUACAAACUUAAACUCAAUCUUAAUUAUUUUACAAAUAAAAUUUUGUUAAAUUAACGACACUUCACAACAAGAAACUUUGGAUUAUUAUACAUAUGUUCUAUCAAAGGAAGUUCUACCGACAUUAUAAUUAUAACUUGGAUGAGUUAGACGAGCGAGAAGACUAAUUUGUUUCAAAUCUACUACCAACUUGUCCAACCCAAUCCAAAUCUAAUUAACUCAAGGUUGGAUCGAAAAUUAUUAACCCACUCCACGCCCUACACAACUGAGGUUCCCAUAAGUCACAAUGAGUUCUUACAAGUUAUUAAGUAAGAUGAUUAUUUUAAAGUCUAUUUCAAGUAAAAUAUAUUACAAAUACAGGUUUCCAUGGGUUGUCUAAACGAUUAAACUGUGGCAAUAUUAAUAUUUUAUGGUUGAUGGUUUUCUAUCCCAAGCACCAAGUUAACCCAUUUAAACCUUACCCACAUCAAUUGGAACUGGGGUGAACCCUUGAAGUUGCAGUCCAAAGAGACGUAAAUUAAGGUGUCCAUUAAAUUCAAAGAUUAAUAUUUAAUUACCUAAAACAACUUAUGAAAUUUUCUUUAUUUGAUGACUUAAAACUUAUCAUUUAAUCUUAAUUUUCAAGCAUCAAGAUUGUUUAAUAAAACUAAUUAAUUUUUUUUUAAGUUAGCUAUCAAGUUUAACAUAUUAACUUUUAUUAAUAUUAAGUCAUGACCAAUGAGAGAGACAAUUAAGGGAGCAAGAGAUAAUAGUUGUGAUAUAAAAUUGAUGAGAACUAUCUUGAAAACUGUUUUUGCUUUUCUUUUGACUUUUUUUACUCUAAGGAUCCUUUUUUGAUGAUAUAUGUAUGAUAAAAAAGUGAUUUUUAGAAAAACUUUUACCAAAUCUUUGUAUAAGAUGUGAUUUUAAAAUUUCUCAAAGAUAGUUUUUGAAACUUUAUCAAAUACAUAUUCAAAAUAAGUAGUUUUAGCAUUUUCAGAGUCACACCCAAAUAAACUUUUAGGCAUUCUUCACUUUAAAUAGCCUUAUUGAGUCUUAUUGACUAAUAAUACUAAUUAUAUCUAUCGGUGGGACAGCUGGGAAAUCCACGAAUGCAUGCGGUAUAUGUUGAAUAAAAUCAAUGUGUAUCAUACAUUACACAUUUAUAUUGUAGUAGUAAUAAUAGGAAUAUGGCUGUUUAAUUAGGCUACACUAGUAUGUCCAGUGAGAAAAAACAAGAGGAAAAUUGAAAAAUUACUGUUGGGUUUGCUCUGCAAGGAAUGGCCAGCACAACUAUAAAGCCAUUUAUGUAACGCCCAAGUUUUUUUUUAAAAGGGUAAUUUAGGAAAUUCAUAAUAAUGAUAUUAAAUUAAUUAAUUAAUUAAUUUAAUAAAAUGGAAGAGGGGUGAAAAUGUAAUUUUACGAAUAAUACCCUAGGUAUAAAUAGAAAAUUAUCUUCUUCCUGUUCUUUUCUGAAUCGUAUUCCUGUUCGCAGAAAGUUUUCAGAGAACGUGAAGUUGAGGCCAGAUUUCAAGGUUUGAAGAACAAACCUCUAUAGGUAAGAUUCUAAUCCCUAGAUUAUUAUUUUAGAUUCAUUAGUUAAUUUCAAGCACAUUAGAUAUAUUUCUUUUGGAAAACCCCAAAUCUAGAUUAGGGUUAGUUUAUUUUUUUUUUAAUUUGUUUUAAUAUCAAAUAGUGAAAAUUUAAGAUUUUGAUUUAUUAUUGGAAUUUGGGAGAUCUUAAGUUUUUUUUUUUUUGAAAAGAAAAAAAGAUUCCUAUGAAAAUUUCGAUUUAAAUUAGGGUUAGUUUAUUAUUAUUUUUUUAUUCGUUUUAAUAUCAAAUAGUGAAAAUUUAAGGUUUUGAUUUAUUGUUGGAAUUUGGGAGAUCUUAAGUUUUUUUUAACAAAAAAAAAAAAAAAAACCUAUGUGCACUAGUUGCAUGCGUGUGGGAACUAUGCAUCCACUUUUUUUUGUAAGGAUUUCAUGGUUGAAAUCUAGUUGGUGGAUUUUCACAUACUCUAUUAUUAGACUUUGAUGGAUACUUGGGUAUGUAAUAUUUAAUAGUAACAGAACUCCGUAUUGUUAGACUUUGAUGGGUACUAGAGUACUGAGUAUUGUAUUAUUUAAUAAUGGCAGGGCUUUGUGUUAUUAAAAACAAAUUGGGAAUUUGUUAAUUUAUUUAAAUAAGGAAUAGAUUAGUUAAAUUAUAGAUAAAUUGUAAUAGUUAUUCCUCUUAUAUUUUUUUAGGUGAAGAGUAAAUUUUCAAGAUUAUUUUCUCUUCAAAGUUUUUGAGGACUUCUUUUGAAAUAAGAGAAAUUAAUGUAGUUGUUAAAUUCUUUUUUAAAACAAUUAUAUAUAUAUAUAUAUACAUUAUUUGAAAACGUUUGAGUUAUAUUCCGUUUUAUGCAUAGAUCAAACCUGUUUUGCAUGAAAAGUAUAUUAAAAUUUUAUAUUAUGUUUUUGACAAAUAAAUGUGGAGAUAUUAUAUGUUGUAAAUUUCAAUAAAGGAAAUAAAUAUUUGACUCUGGUUUGUUUGGCCCUUGUCAACGGGAUUUAAUAGUUGACUUUUGGUCCUUGUCAAUGGGAUAUAAUAGUUGACCUUUACAUUUCUUGGUGGGGAAUGUAAUUGAUUUGAACCCCAGCCUCUAGGGGUUUCAGUUAGAGGUUACUAGUACUAGUAGUGUUUGGUUCCAUCCACCUUAAAGGAACAAUUUGAGGCUAGCCACCCAUUUGAAAAGUCCCACCUAACUGGGCACCCUUUGAUGUUUGAUGACCAAAGUAAAUAAAUUAUUGGAAUGUUUUGACUAAAUUUGAUAUGAAAUUGUUUGAAUCAGAAAUAAAUACAUACAGUUAGAAAUUUUGAAUGUAUUGGAAAAAAAAAAAAAAAAUUUACUCACAGCUUUAUGAAAAUGAUUGAUUACAAUAUCUCCUAUUUUGCAAGUGAGUUUGAAAUGUUUGAUCCAUGGACUGCAUUAAUGUUCCUUAUUGGGCUGUGAGCUCAUUCCCAUUUGUUGACUACUUUUCGGAUACCCUUAGUUCGGGUGAGGAGUGAUGGCUAGGUUAAGGAAUUGUCAUCAUUAGGAUUUGACUUAGGAUUUUAUGUUGGAUUUUGUUUAACUGUUAGUUGUGUUCAUUUGGAUCUUUUGGUAUUUGGAAGUUAUUUGGAUAUUGAUCCUUCAAAUUUUAUGUUAGAUCAAAGUUAAGUUUUGGAGAUUUCGAAAUUUGUUCUAGUACUUGAAUUGUUUAAGUUUGCAACUAUUUGGACAAUGGAUUUUGGAUAGUGGAUGUUUGAGUUUUGAAAUUGAAUUUUGAGGAUUUUAGAUUUUGUUCCGCUACUCUGAACAGAUAUUUGGUAAUUGGUAACUUUCGAUUACAAGAUAAUUGUUUGGGUCAGGUUACACUGUAAGCCUUCGGGUUUGAAGUGUGAAAUGACCGUCACGCCCUUGGAGUGGGUCUUGGGGCGUGACAAUUUACACCUCCACAAAUUGCAUACACCAUCUGUCUAAUAGGGCAACUCUUAAGGUAUCCUCCUCCUUUUUCGAAUGGCCGCACCAAUCUCACCUCUCUAUGAAAAAAUCCCCCAGAAAAAUACACUCCAUAGAGCCUUGGAAUUUACCAUCUUCUUCCUUCUCCUCUCUCUCCUUGCUUAUCGUCUCCUCUCCCUCAAAAACAAUGGUUUCGCUUGGCUCAUCGCCUUCCUCUGUGAGUCAUGGUUCACCUUCCUUUGGGUUCUUAACUUGAGCUCCAAAUGGAAUCCUGUGUCCUACAUAACAUACCCUGAACGCCUUCUACAAUGUUAUCAGUAUCCAAUAAUUCUC
rnacentral:lncRNA from 1 species